GUUUGAUUGUAAGAGUCUCUAUCUUGCUUUAAAAUGGCUAAAAAAAGGAUGAAUUUUAUGGUUGACCUCAAAUCAGGUAGGGAUACCCGCUGAACUUAAGCAUAUCAAUA
rnacentral:rRNA from 1 species